rnacentral:rRNA from 1 species
UACGUAGGGUGCAAGCGUUAAUCGGAAUUACUGGGCGUAAAGGGCUCGUAGGUGGCCAACUAAGUCAUACGUGAAAUCCCUCGGCUUAACCGGGGAACUGCGUCUGAUACUGGAUGGCUUGAGGUUGGGAGAGGGAUGCGGAAUUCCAGGUGUAGCGGUGAAAUGCGUAGAUAUCUGGAGGAGCACCGGUGGCGAAGGCGGCAUCCUGGACCAAUUCUGACACUGAGGAGCGAAAGCCAGGGGAGCAAACGGG